AUAACACUUGGAUAACCUUUUCAAAAAUAAUUCAUUCCAUUUGAAAAUGUCCUCGUCGUUCAAUGGACAUGUGCAUGCAGAAAUAACUUAUGGCAUAUCGAUUAUUUACACCUCUUAAACGAUACUUACUGACAUUCAAGCCAGCAUGUCUCACACUAUACAGCAUAAUAUCAUAUCACAGUCAGCUCCAUUUGGGUAACGAUGGAAACGGUUAACCAGUAUAUGCUAGUGGAGCACGGUGGAGUCGGUUAACCAGGAUAUACCAGUGGCUAAUGAAGGUGUCGGUUAACCAGUAUAUACUGAUGGACAACAGAGGUGUCGGUUAACCAGUAUAUACUGAUGGACAACGCGGAGUCGGUUAACCAGUAUAUACCAGCGGAUAAUGAAGGUGUCGGUUAACCAGUAGAUAAUUAGUUGAUAAUGGUGGUGUCGGUUAACCAGUAUAUACUGAUGGAAAAUGGAAGUGUCGGUUAACCAGUAUAUACUGAUGGACAACGGAGGUUCGGUUAACCAGUAUAUACUGAUGGACAAUGGAGGUGUCGGUUAACCAGUAGAUAAUUAGUGGCUAAUGGUGGUGUAGGUUAACCAGUAUAUACUCAUGGACAAUGGAAGUGUCGGUUAACCAGUAUAUACUGAUGGACAACGGAGGUGUCGGUUAACCAGUAGAUAAUUAGUGGCUAAUGGUGGUGUCGGUUAACCAGUAUAUACUAAUGGACAACGGAGGUGUCGGUUAACCAGUAGAUAAUUAGUGGAUAAUGGUGGUGUCGGUUAACCAGUAUAUACCAGCGGAUAAUGGAAG